AUUGAACGCUGGCGGCAGGCCUAACACAUGCAAGUCGAACGGUAGCACAGAGAGCUUGCUCUCGGGUGACGAGUGGCGGACGGGUGAGUAACGUCUGGGAAACUGCCCGAUGGAGGGGGAUAACUACUGGAAACGGUAGCUAAUACCGCAUAACGUCGCAAGACCAAAGUGGGGGACCUUCGGGCCUCACACCAUCGGAUGUGCCCAGAUGGGAUUAGCUAGUAGGUGAGGUAAUGGCUCACCUAGGCGACGAUCCCUAGCUGGUCUGAGAGGAGGACCAGCCACACUGGAACGGAGACACGGUCCAGACUCCUACGGGAGGCAGCAGUGGGGAAUAUUGCACAAUGGGCGCAAGCCUGAUGCAGCCAUGCCGCGUGUAUGAAGAAGGCCUUCGGGUUGUAAAGUACUUUCAGCGGGGAGGAAGGCGGUGAAGUUAAUAACUUCACCGAUUGACGUUACCCGCAGAAGAAGCACCGGCUAACUCCGUGCCAGCAGCCGCCGUAA
rnacentral:rRNA from 1 species